rnacentral:lncRNA from 1 species
GAGAAUGUCACCUGCUUCAAGGAGGAGCUUUCAUCUACCCUGAGCCGUCUGCUUUCAAGGAGUAUUUACACUUCUUUUGUUCGUCAAUUCCAUCCUCCUAAGCUCCGGUUCUAUCUUAUGUGUGUCUUGAAGUCGUUGUUGUACCCAUUUUGUCAAGUAGCCGGAUAGGAGGCCAAAACGACCAUAUGCGCUUGACCGUAGACAAUGCUUCAUUUUAAACGGCGUCGAAGUCACAUCUACAUGUUAGAAAACUCCGAGAAGGCUUGAGCUUUGUUGGCCAGCGUCCUUCUCCAACGGAGAACCGGGAUGUGAGCCAGCUGUCGCCGUCGAUACGACGAUACCUGCUUGGAGCCACUUCAGUGAGACCUGGCUAAUCAUCUCUUAUGGC